rnacentral:rRNA from 1 species
UGGGGAAUCUUGCGCAAUGGCCGAAAGGCUGACGCAGCGACGCCGCGUGUGGGAUGAAGCAUUUCGGUGUGUAAACCACUGUUGCCCGGGACGAACAUCCUCUUUCGAGAGGACUGACGGUACCGGGUGAGGAAGCACCGGCUAACUCCGUGCCAGCAGCCGCGGUAAUACGGAGGGUGCGAGCGUUGUCCGGAAUCACUGGGCGUAAAGGGCGCGUAGGUGGGCCUGUGGAAGUCUGCGGUGAAAGCCCGGCGCUCAACGCCGGGUCUGCCGUGGAUACUCUCGGGCUCGAGCUCACUAGAGGCAGAUGGAAUUCCGGGUGUAGCGGUGGAAUGCGUAGAGAUCCGGAAGACACCGGUGGCGAAGGCGGUCUGCUGGGGUGAUGCUGACACUGAUGCGCGACAGCGUGGGGAGCAAACAGGAUUAGAUACCCUGGUAGUCCACGCCGUAAACGAUGGGCACUAGAUGCUUGGGGGAGCGACCCCCUGA